GACGAACGCUGGCGGCGUGCCUAACACAUGCAAGUCGAGCGAUGAAAUUUUCUUCGGAAAAUGGAUUAGCGGCGGACGGGUGAGUAACACGUGGGUAACCUGCCCUAUAGAGAGGGAUAGCCUUCCGAAAGGGAGAUUAAUACCUCAUAAUAUCCGAGUAUCGCAUGAUACAUGGAUUAAAGGAGUAAUCCGCUAUAGGAUGGACCCGCGGCGCAUUAGCUAGUUGGUGAGGUAACGGCUCACCAAGGCGACGAUGCGUAGCCGACCUGAGAGGGUGAUCGGCCACAUUGGGACUGAGACACGGCCCAGACUCCUACGGGAGGCAGCAGUGGGGAAUAUUGCACAAUGGGGGAAACCCUGAUGCAGCAACGCCGCGUGAGUGAUGACGGUCUUCGGAUUGUAAAGCUCUGUCUUUAGGGACGAUAAUGACGGUACCUAAGGAGGAAGCCACGGCUAACUACGUGCCAGCCGCCGCGGUAAUU
rnacentral:rRNA from 1 species